UACGUAGGGUGCAAGCGUUAAUCGGAAUUACUGGGCGUAAAGCGUGCGCAGGCGGCUAUGCAAGACAGAUGUGAAAUCCCCGGGCUCAACCUGGGAACUGCAUUUGUGACUGCAUAGCUAGAGUACGGUAGAGGGGGAUGGAAUUCCGCGUGUAGCAGUGAAAUGCGUAGAUAUGCGGAGGAACACCGAUGGCGAAGGCAAUCCCCUGGACCUGUACUGACGCUCAUGCACGAAAGGCGUGGGGAGCAAACAGGAUUACGAA
rnacentral:rRNA from 1 species